ACAGCCCAAACCCUAGAUCAGAUCCCCCCAUCGCACCCCUCUCCCUGCUCCCAAUCUCCCCGCCGCCGCCGCCUCCUCCCCGUACCCGCGCCCCUCCCGAUCUCGCCGUCCUCUCCCACCCACCGCCGACCUCGCCAUCCUCCUCACCCACCGCCGCCGACCGCGUCCCUCCCUCCCCGCAUCUCCGGGCCUUGCAGCGCGCCGCCCCGAUGCCAAGUCCCUCCUCGCCGUUCCUGCGCCGCCGCUGCUCCAAUCCAACCCCGAUUCGAUUCCGGCCGCCGCCACCCUCUCCUCUACUCUCCUCUACGGACCACUACGAGCGGCGAUGCGCGGAGGGCGCUCGGGGGGAGGCAGUGGGGGGCUGCGGAACCCCUGCCUGACGAUGCACCAGUCAUGGGCAUCGCUGCUGGUGCACGGCACCAAGCGCGUGGAGGGCCGCUCCUGGCCGUCGCCGGUCAUCGGCUGCCCUGGAUCCACGCCGCCUCCAAGGUGCCCGACCCCGACACCGUCGCCGCCAUGGAGGACUUCUACCAGGAGAUCUACGCCAUCGACGGGGUCCACCACAUCGACUUCCCACAGCACUACCCCGUCUCCUGCCUCCUCGGAUGCUUCGAGGUGGUCGGCUGCGUCCGGUCUGCUGGGAGGAUGUGCCUCAAUCAUAGCGGCAUGGGCGAGUUGAGGUGGGGGACAGAGAGGUUGUGUCGUGCGGGUUCUGAUCAAGCUUUAGCAGCACACUUUCUAGUGUUGAUCUGAGCAAAGGAUGAUGCAAGGCUGCUCCUCCUUGUACUGCAUGCCUUCAUUGACUUGAUUCUUUGACAGGGAGAUAUUUAAAGCCUUCACUUGUUCAUUGUGUCAUCUGCUGAUUACUUUUUCUAUUAUUUUCUUGCAAAGCAUGUAAUGGUUUGGAGUAGUUGAUCAUGGCCUGAUGGAACAUUCAUGUUGUUAGAAUGUACAUAUAUACACACACACACACACACACACACACUAUUACAGCAGCUUGUUGAUCAAGCGCUUCUUUCUAUCUAAAUGUGUGCACAGAAGUUCAGUUACCUUCUAAAAAAUUAUUGGUGCACUAUCUAUCUAUAUAUACACACUAUUACAGCAGCUUGUUGAUCAAGCGCUUCUUUCUAUCUAUAUAUAUACACUAUCUAAAUUGUUUGCAACGGCAUUAUGCACAUGAGGCAGGACUAUACAAGUGAAUUGUCACAGUAAGGUCCUUCCAUGGAUUUCAUGUGGCUCCUUGAGUUGUAAGAUGCAGCUCCAACAUUGAAUAUAUUUUGAAUGUUUCCAAAGAUACUCUCUGUUACGUUUACUUCAAUAUAUACAUGCAUGUUACUGAUAGAAGCUGGCUGCAGGAAUCCGUAUACAUAUAUACUCUCUUGUAUAGUACAUUGCUAGAUCACUCACUAGGCAUUAUGUAAUACUACUAGGAGAUAUGGGUGAGGGACUAAAAGGAUGAUACGCUUCCAUGAAUUUAUUUGUAAGAAGUUUUUCUUGGCUAUGUACAAAUCAGCCCAAAUGAAUUUAUGUUCUUUUUUACUUCCAGAGUUAUAGUGCACUCAUAGUGUCAUCACAUUGCGUGUUCUUGCUGCAUAUACCUCUCUAUUUGCUUAGGCAGACAACUACUUAUGUAAUAUGCAAACAACAGCAACAGAGCUAGUGAUGCUAAUUCUACCUCUUGUUACAGAAUCAGAAUUCCUCUUGUUGCACAGGACAACUCCGUUUCCUCUUGUUAUAGAAUCAGAAUUCCUCUGCUUCUUAUGCUACUCUGCUAGAACUCUGCUUUUCUACUUGUCAUAUUGAAUAUACAUGUUCUAAACAUUAUACAGUACUUUCGUUGUUAACUCCAAACAACUUGGGAUCUUCUCUUCUGCAUGCAGAAACUAGCUUACCAGUACACCGCCAAGGGGGCAUGCCUUGCCCUGGUAGCGAAGAGGAGUGGAGCCUGUGGCAGGCCGCCAACCACGCCUUCGAGCUCGGCGCGCCGAACGUGAUCAUUCUCCCCGGGGACGUCGCAUACCCCGACGACUACAACAGAUUUGUUCAGGCCACAAUCGACCACUACGGCCAAUGGCGACCGCGGAAGGCAUGAUGAUAGUUCAUAUUGUCAUUCUGUUAGUCCAGUGUAAUGAAGGUCAUGGCCUAGUCAAGUAUGGUUGCCCAUUGAGUCGUGCAUAUGUUUCAUAUGAUUGGAGCAGGGGCCCAGUUUGUGCCAAUUGUCACUGCAUAUGUUUAACAGUGAUUCUACUUGUAUAAGUGUUAUUACACUAGUAGAAUUUGUACCUGUGCGAUGUCUGGAGCAGGAUCCCAAUAUUUGUAGAGAUUGUAACAUUGAUUGUCACUGUAUACAGAUUGAUUCUGGUUGCUGUUACUUGAAGUAUUCCUUAUGUUUUA